AGUUUUCUCGGAAACACUUGAAGUGUGAGAUUUGAUAGGAAAUGCAGAAGAUCAAAAGAGCAUUUUGUUGAAUGCCCCAAGAGUUAAGUUGGAUGUAGACAAAUGUAUUUGCCUUUUAACUGCUGCAAUGGAAUGUGGAAACGUUCAGAAGAACCCUUUGAAAAGCCAAAUGGAUGAAGCAGUCAGCAUGCUUAAAGAAUUGAAGCAACUUUAUGCUGUAUUAGAUGGAAGUGGUCAGCAAGUGAAGAACAACGUUUCAACAAUUAGAGAAGUUUGCAAGAGGUUGCAGUCAACAAGGCAAACAGUGGAGCCUCACUUGAAUCAGCUAUUGACAGUAAGAUGGGG